rnacentral:sRNA from 1 species
AUGGAAGCAACCACUUCUCCAUUCAAGGUAUGUAUGACUCCUCCAAAAAAAAAAAAAAAAAAAAAUUCAAACAUUUUGGUUACUCUUCGAAGGAAUUAUAGAAAAUAAGAAAUAAAUAUCUUCCAGGUUCCAACCUUGGCAAUUUCUUCGCUGACUGAGUAUGUUAUAGUAUAAGUUAUAACUGAGAGCAGUGAAAUUUUAAUCUUUUGAGAAUGUAGAACUGGGUAUUCAUGGAUUUUUCUAUCAAAUGAAACCCCAUGAACAUUUUAAAUUUUACUUUUGGGACCAUUGAACAUUUUAUUCUAUUCUGUUUUUUUUUUUUUUUAAAUUUUGUUUGUGGUAAGAGAUGUUUUAUCUUAAAUUUUAGGACUAUACAAUAAAGUUUUUGCCUGAAGUCAUGUAAAAUUUGAUGUGGACAUGAAGUUAUGACCUUUGAGAUGAUUGAUUUAUGAUUUAUCCACCAUUGUUGAGUGUUAGUGUGUGCAUCUUGUGCAGAUAGUUUUGGGAUCAUCGUCAAUAGCACGUCGAAAAAUAUUAGCUGAGAUGGGUUAUGAAUUCACGAUUAUGGUAUUUUUACUCUCAGCUAGCUACUAAAUUUUAUUUCAUGUUGAUAGCCAGAAAGUUGACUCCUUUAAUUACUUAGACUGCAGAUAUUGAUGAAAAAUGCAUCCGAAAGGAAAAGCCAGAGGACUUGGUUAUGGCUCUUGCUGAGGCUAAGGUGGGGAUUUUUAUCUUGAAUUUCAAAUUCAAAGUACAUUAGUAAGUGUUUUAUAUAUUCUAACUUGGGGUUUUAAGGUUUUUUUUUUUUUUUUUUUUUUUGGGGGGUAAAUUGCAAAUGCAUCUAGUGGGUCUUGAACCGACUGGCCUCACCCUGCANUUUUUUUUUUUUUUUUUUUUUUUUGGGGGGUAAGUUGCAAAUGCAUCUAGUGGGUCUUGAACCGACUGGCCUCACCCUGCAUCCCAUUAUUAAGGGAGAAGGAAUUGCCAAUUGAGUUAUCGCUCAUUGGCAACUUUGGGUUGAUAUGUACACUACGGCUAUAAAGAAUUCUCAUUCUUAUGCUAAUUAUCAUACAGAAGGAAUAUGGAUAUUAAAACUCUCCUACAAUUAUUAAUCAAUACUUUCAAACUGUUGAAACACUGUAGUGAUCUAAAUGCUUAAUUUAUAGACCAUUCUUGUGAUUAUGUAGAAGGAUGUAGAUCGUUCUUGUUUUACUUUUGAUUUUAGUAGUCAUUCACUGUCAUGCUUUCUGUCUGUAUGUGUUUAUUGUCUUAUUGUUCUGUUCGUAACACAAAUGAAGGGUGGGAAUGUUUACUUUUAAUUUUCUUCCAUUGAUUGAGUGUGUGUUGCAUCUCAGGCUGAUGCCAUCUUAUCAAAACUACAAACUAUCAGUAAUCAAGAGAAGGAUAACGAACAAAAAAUUUUGAUUGCGGCUGACACAGUAUGUCUUGCUUUCUUUUUUAUUUUUCUAUCGACUCAACUCUCUGUUUCAACAACAGGGUGUAUUAGGUCUGGUAUCACCUAGUGCCAUUUAUGGACUGAGGAUACAUUGCCUUUAGAGAGAGGAACUAUUGUUCUUCAGUUCCUGCACCACAGAUCUUGCAUUUCACAGUAUCUUCAUAGUCAGACAUGAGUGCUUCACUUCCAUUGCUUUGUUAAGCACAGAUGUAAUGUAGUUCAUGCUGUUAGUCAAGGGAGGGAGAUGAGGCCAUUCUGGUUAGGUUUUCUCUUCCUUUCGUAAAAACCCAAAUCAAAGUUGUUUAUCAAUGGUAGAUGAAUAUCUGGAUAUAACAGAUGUAAACCUGGAUUUGGAUUUCAUUACCAUGCUAUUUUCUGAGCAUGGAUAUCAGAACAUAUGUAUUUAGUUAAUCUUUCAAACAAAUUGUAAAUCUAUAUGCUUGUUGUGAUCAUUGAUUUGGAAUCAAUAUUGAUUGGAAUCAAUAUUAUGGCUGUUGGUUACUCUUUGUUUUAAAGGCUAGAUUUGUCUUAAUUUGGGACAUUGACUGCACACUCAUUAUUUGUUAAGUGGAAAACCAAUAUACUGAUUAUGGUGCUGCAAUAUUCAACUUUUGCAUCUAUGGAAUUAUAUCUUUUUAAUGCACUUUGUGUUUGUUUCUGCUCUCUCUGCCAGCAACAUGCGUAUUUCUAUAUCAUUUUUUUGAUUCGUAACAUGCAUAGUUCCGUACAAUCAUUAUUGACAUGGUUAUUGUCUCAAUACAGUCUACUGGUUUCUGGUUGUAAUGGAACUGUGACUCUGUACUGACAAUAGCUGAUGGAACCUUACUCUCAGGCAGAAGCCAUCUUACAAAGGCUCCCCAUUGGUGACAAUGUAAAGGAUGCUGAGCCAACAUUGUUAGUUACUUGUGACCAAGUAUAAAUCAAGUCCUUUGAUAUGUUUAUAUUCCUGAUUUAUUGCACUUAUCUUGCAUUUUCAUUUUUCAACCUAGGAAAUAAGUGUCCACAAUAUGUAAAGGAUGCAUAGGGAAUUGGCUGGUAGAGUUUAGUUGGAAACUAACCUUCUUUCCAUGCCAACCUAGAUAAGUCUAAUCUAUUAAGACCUAUGCUCCGUUAGUUUUGCUAUAAAAUAUUUUCAGGUGCUUGGUGUGACAUAAAAUUCUCCAAGCACAAGCCACCAAAACUGCUGCCUCUCAGCCACCAUCAGUGGCUUCAUCCACCUGACUGGCGACCCAGCCACUAGAUUGGGGGGGGGGGGGGGGGGGGAGGGGGGGGGGGGGGGGAGAGCCACUAUGUGUUUUUGUAAAACCUUUUACCAAUUUAUUUUGGUAAAAUGUUUUACAAAAUUUUAUAAAGGAUUUUAUGGACAAUGGAAAACAAUUUCUGGUUUGACCAAAUUUUACAGUGAAAUAAACUGGGCAUUAAUCUUCUGAUUAACCAAGUGCUGCCAGCAAUGAUUUAAUUCUUUCAGAUCAGAAUUCAUAAGUAACAGAUGGGUUUCAAUUCCAGCACAUAUCUGGAACUUUGUGGGAGCCAAAAGAACUUAUCUGAUUGCUAGAAAACCUCCAGCUGUGGGCUUGGUACCAGGCCCAACCUUUUUUCCUUUAUUUCUCUUAGGCUUUAUUUAAAACUAUCAGCUGUGGGCAUACUUCUAGCCAUCUAAAAUUUGCCUGCCAACUUCAACAUUGAAACGUUUUUAACAUAAAGUGACAUGAAUAAGCUCUCCCCCCCCACCCCCUUCCCACCCGCGCGGAAAUCAACACACACUCUCUCUAAUGGAAUUACUCUAUUAAUUAAUUUAUUUUCUUGAAUGCUAGAAUAUCAUUAAGGCUAAAUUUACAUUGCCAGAAAUUCAAUAAUUUCCAAUGAAAUUUGUGUCUUGCACUUAUGCCUUAACCCUUUUUUUCUCUACGGGUGGGAAAUUAACAAACAAAAGUAUAAGGAAACGGUGAUAUUAAGGAAAAAAAAAAAACCUUAACUUCUGUGCUCUGCUUUUGUUUCUUGGAACAUCUCCGCCAUAGAUCUUAUUCCUAGUUUGCUUAUUAUGGAUAAUCUGAGGAGUGGCAAAAACUUCUAUUUAGCCUAGGGCAAAUUAACAGAAUAUGUAUCUCUGUAUGUCAUGGGAUGCGGCAUACUUUUAGGCGAAUAAAAGGUAUUUGUACUCUCAAAGGAACAUUUCCUAGUUUGCAUGACAUAUGUAGAUUAGAGGCUAGAGUUUUCUUCACCACCUGUUGGUAACUAUAUCAUUAUGAUCUUGCACAUGCCCUCAAUAAUUCUGGAGAGAUAUUAUGGACACUGAUGUUUCUUAUGCCCAUAUGUGCAAAUUGCACCUUGUAUCCUCAAACAUAAAUGGCCUUCUGGUGACAAGAAUUGUUUGUAGAUGUAGGAAUGUUCAUUUUUUACCUUGUUAGGAACUGAACUUUAUUUUGUGUUAUUUCUUACUGUUAUUAUCAAAUGAUCUGGAGGUGGUGGUCUAUGAAGGUGCGGUCAGGGAAAAACCAUCCAGUAAGGAAGAAGCACGGCAGUUUUUGAAAGGUUUGCUUAACUCUCUGCUCCCCCCUCGCCCCCUUUUUUUCUAGUUCCCUAUUGUUUUCCUAUUUAAUAACUCAGGAAAUUUUAUCAACAUGGAUUGCAGACUAUUCUGGAAGCCACGCAGCAACUGUGGGAUCAGUGCUUGUGACAAAUCUUAAGACGGGAUUCAGAAAAGGAGACUGGGACCGAGUGGAGGUACCAUAUGCUUUUAUUGCUUUGUGAAACUCAGUAAUUAUUGUUGAGGGUUUUUUUUUUUUAUAAUUUAAAUCUUGUCCUACUAGUGUUCCAUUGAAAAGCUAUUCCAUUUUUUCUUGAGUAUCAAGGCUCUUAAUUAUUGUCUUUAGAGAUACAUUUGCCAAAUUUUACUUAUGUGGUGAUGCAUUGCAGAUCUAUUUCCAUACAAUACCAGAUGAAACCAUUGAGAAACUGGUAAUAGUUGUUUUCUUUCAUUUAAUUUGGGGGUUGCUUCUGCAUCAUUUGGUGAGAUAAUGAUUUAUUGGCUAUAGCACUCCACUGAUCUUUUCCCCCCCUUUAUUUUCAGAUUGAGGAGGGGACUGUGCUUUAUGUUGCUGGGGGACUGAUCAUAGAGCAUCCUUUGAUACUGCCCUUUGUAAAACAAGUGGUUAGUUUGCUAAUCUUUGAGUACCCGUUAACAGAAAUCCAAUAUUGUAAAUAAUAGAGAUAAGAGGUAUAAAGGAAAAGCAGAGUUUCAUUUCAAAAACUGUGGUCCCCUCUAUUGAUUCCUAAAAUUUAGUUGAUGGGAUGUUUUCCCCAAAACCUCAUGUAUUGACCUUCCGAUACACUUGCAUAAACUGAUUGAUUUUUUAUUUUUAUCCUUAUUAUUUUUAUUAUUGGUAAGUUACAUAUUCACCUAAUGAGUCUUGAACCCUAUGACAUCACCCUUCACUUUAUUUUUACAAGGAAAGGAGGUGUCAUUGAUGCAUGGCAGACAAUUUGUUACAUUUUAGACAUGCCUUUAUUUGAUCCUUUUAAUUUGUGCCUGUUACUUAGAAUAUUGAUUGAAUAAUUAAAUUCACUCCUUUUCUAUCAAACUAAACCUUUUGGGAUUAAUGGUAAUUUGUAUAGUCUAAGAGCAAGUGGUCCUAAAUUCAAACCACGUCUUCACUUUGUAAUUUAUUCCGCAUGUUGGGUUGCAUUUAAGUAUUCCAUGUAUUGGGUCUUUGAAUUGUGGGGAAGCUUGGGCCCACAUAUGAGGAGUGUUAGAAUAUUGACUAAUAAUUAAACUCACCUUUUUAUAAGAUUUAAGUUGAGCUAGUUUUGGGUUGGCAACUUGGAAGUUCAAAGGCAAAACAAAUACGAUGUGUCUAUAAUUCAUUUUGCUUCAAUUUCUUGAAGCAUUUAUCCAGGGAAGUAAAUUUGUCUUUCAAUUAGGCAGGGUGAUGGUCUUGAAUCUCUUGAUCAAAACUUUUCCACCAUCAAUAAUACUGAGAAACUUUCUUGUGUCUCUGAAUAUUAGCUGUUAGAGAUUAAUUCAUUGCAAGGUUGCUUUGAUAAGUACUUAUAAAAAAGAAGGUUGCUUGGAUAAGUUGCUUCAAUGUUUUCCAAAUGGCUUGUCUUUAGCUUUGGUCUGGGUUACUAAUUACUGACAAAUAUUUCUUUCAAGUUUUGGUAGACAUUAAUUAGUAUGCCCAAAAAAAAAAAAAAAAAAAAAAAAAAAAAAAUUAAGGCAUGAAAAAAAAAAAAAAAAAAAAAAAAAAAAAAAAAAAAAAAAAUUAAGGCAUGAUAAUUGGUGAUACUCUGUGCAGGUUGGGACAACUGACAGUGUGAUGGGACUCCCCAAAGCUCUCACUGAAAAGCUUAUAAAGGAGGCCCUCUAGCUGCUGUAGCCAUUUCAAUCUUCCAGUCCUAUUCGGUAUUUUACCCAAUUGACACAAUUUAUCCUCCUGUUAUUUGACCUCUGAUCUUGUUUCUUCAAAUUUCGUAAUUGAUUGCACCGGUUCAUUCAGGAUUAAGGCUUGUUGUUAGUGUUAAUUGCUCCAGUUCACGUGCACCUGUUGCGCACCGCUUUUAUUUUUCAAAAUGA